GAUGAACGCUGGCGGCGUGCCUAAUACAUGCAAGUCGAGCGAACAGACGAGGAGCUUGCUCCUCUGACGUUAGCGGCGGACGGGUGAGUAACACGUGGAUAACCUACCUAUAAGACUGGGAUAACCUCGGGAAACCGGAGCUAAUACCGGAUAAUAUAUUGAACCGCAUGGUUCAAUAGUGAAAGACGGUUUUGCUGUCACUUAUAGAUGGAUCCGCGCCGCAUUAGCUAGUUGGUAAGGUAACGGCUUACCAAGGCAACGAUGCGUAGCCGACCUGAGAGGGUGAUCGGCCACACUGGAACUGAGACACGGUCCAGACUCCUACGGGAGGCAGCAGUAGGGAAUCUUCCGCAAUGGGCGAAAGCCUGACGGAGCAACGCCGCGUGAGUGAUGAAGGUCUUCGGAUCGUAAAACUCUGUUAUUAGGGAAGAACAAAUGUGUAAGUAACUAUGCACGUCUUGACGGUACCUAAUCAGAAAGCCACGGCGAACUACGU
rnacentral:rRNA from 1 species